rnacentral:misc_RNA from 1 species
UUUAAAUUUUGUUUUUCUUCAGACACAAAGCUAAACAGCAUAGACUCGACGCCCAGAGGCGCCGAAGCACAUCUCACUUCCGCAGGUUUGUGGAUGAAGGGUCCCGAAGGACCCAUCUUUUUAAUGAUCCCUCCGCAGGUUCACCUACGGAGA